rnacentral:miRNA from 1 species
GACCAUCGAGGACCUGCGGGACAAGAUUCUUAGGGCCACGAUGGAGAACUCCAAGACUCUCCUGCAGAUCGACAA